UACGGCCAUAUCACGUUGAAACACCGGUGCCCGUACUAUUACCGAAAUUAAGCAACGUUGAACCUGGUUAGUAGCUAGAUGGGUGACCGUUUGGAAAUACCAGGCGCUAU